GUAGGAAUAGUUUAACAAAAAUAUCAGAUUGUGAUUCUGAAGCUAGAGGUUAAAAUCCCCUUUCCCACC
rnacentral:tRNA from 1 species